UUUGGUUUUAUUGUUAGCCGCAUGUGCACCACGUAGCUGAACCCUAAAAAAAAGAAGAAAACCCCUUUUCAUCUUCUUUCUUCUUCUUAUCAAUUUGAGAUCACACCAUAAACAAAGAAAAAGAGGGUAUUUUUCUUUUGUUGUAAUCAGCCAUGAAUUCGGAAUAUUGAGUAUUCUUAACAGAUUUACUCCUCUUCGGCUACAACUUGUUUUUCUUUGUUUGUCUGUUCAAACUCUUGCUUAUCGAAGAUUCUGGUGGCGGUAAAUCAUGUGUGCUUCUCAGGAAGAUUAUUGUUUCAAGUGCUGGACAAUCUAAGUUCCUUCGGAUAUCACUAGUUGACAAAGUUCUUUCAGUGGGACACUGGUGGACAAGAACGUUUCCGAACAAUCACCAGCAGUUACUGCGUUGGAGUACACGGCACUAUAGUAAGUUUCAUGUAAGCAGUGUAUGUGGGUGCCAAUGUUGGUAAAUACUAUAUUUCCGAGGUUCGAAUGUAUGAGUUAGUGUAGGCAAGGUCUAUUGAAACUCCUUAUUUUCAGUCUUUACAAUGUAUGUGUGGAAGAGAAAUUUAUUUAACUGUGAAGUAAGGUGUUUCAGUAGCCCGGAACACAAAACCAAGAGAAUCUAUGGCGGAGCCAGCAUAUGUAAUGGGGGUUAAUUGCCUCCAAUGGCUGCUUCCUUCCAUUGCUUAUUUAACCUUCUAAGGCUUGAUUCAAGGGAAUAUAUGAACAAAGAAGACAUCUAAGCUUUAGAAGGUCAAAAUAAGCUUGGUGGGCCAGCAGCCAUGGGAGGCAAUUGCACAUGCCCUGUGUUGGCUCUGCCGCUGGUGCAGCUGGUUUAGUCAAUUUUCAGUUUGUAGAUCUACCCAUCAAAAGUGAUAUCUUUGUAAAAUACUAACCAGGAACUUAUCAAACCCGAAAAAUUAUACCUAAAUUAUAGAAGAAUCUGAAGAGUCCGCUAUGAAAGUUUUGAGGAGUUGUAUUGUUCAGGUAUGCUAUGUGAGUUCAUGUAUCGUGUUUUUGAUAUGGGUAGGAAAGUGUAUUGGGUAUAAAGCGGAGGGCAAUCACCAAUUUUUAUUUUUAUUUUUAUUUUUGUGUGUAGGGAAAUUGAACUUUUCUUGCUUGAUUUACCAAAUUUAGGAUGAUAUUUCUUUCUUUGAAUUGUACAGAAAUGAAUUGUACAGAAAAGUUGUUCUCUUAUAAAAAUGAAAUUGUAGUUAUGGUCAUUGACAGGGUUGAAGCUAUAAACAGAUAAAGUCGUACAAAAAUGAAAAUCGUGAGGAGAAGAAAAUUCUCCGUACUUUUUAUGUGAAACUGGAUUUUCUUCUCCCACAAUUGCAUUUUCUUCUUCGGUACGACUUUAAUUAUUAUUAUACAUGUAUGGUGGUAGUGGUAGACAAUUUCAACUGUGAAGUAAGGUGGUGUUUCAGUAGCCUGAAAAACUAGGAGCAGAGGCGGAGCCAGCACAUGUCACGGGGUUAAUUUCCCAUGGCCCCCAUUUGGCUGCUUCCUCCCAAUGCCUAUUUUGCCUUUUAGGGGUUGAUUUUUGGUCGAUCCUUGGCUAGUUUUCUUUUCUUCAUCAACUUAAACCCCAAUUCAAGGGAAUAUAUGAACAAAGAAGGCAUCUAGCUUUUAUAAGGUCAAAAUAGGCUUGGGAGGCCAUUGCCCAUGGCCUAUGUUGGCUCAGCCUCUGGUUCAACUGGUUUUGAGUUUAGUGAAAUUUUGAAUUCCAGAAAAACAGUUUCGAAACUUUUGAAUUUUGUUUUUAUCUUAGGCUUAGCUAAUGUGUUGGUUGAAUUUGCUUACCAAAAUGUUCUCUUUUUAAAAUUUGUAAUAUACUUAUCAGGAACCUAUUAAACUCGAACUAUAAUUAGAACAGUAAUGCUAAGUUGACUGUGGAAAUCUCCCCGGGAAAAUCCUGGGAGACAGCCCUGGGGCCCAUCUGGAGAAAAAAGGGGUUCCAGUAGGGUCGUGUCUUCUCCAGAUGGGUCCCAGGGGCUGUGUCUCCCAGGAAAAUUCCCACGGUAUAUAAGGAAUUAUUGUAAUUAGAAUUGGUUUUUGGAUCUUAAAAGAAUUAAAAAAAAAAUUGACUUGUCAAAUGCAAUAUUUUGUUUGAAUUUGUUGUGCUUUAAUAUUGUAUUGUGCCAAGAUGAUACUAAUGUUCUAGGAACUGGCGAUUUGGGUGACAAGCUGAUCAUUAAAGCUGGUUCUCUUUCAGCAUCAGGGAAAGAAAAGCUUGAAGUUGUUGGUUGCACUAUUUCUCCUCAUCAAUACACUUUGGUUAGUUGAAGACUUGUACUUGUCAGGAAUGCUGCCACAGCUGUCUCUCCACUUUCAGGGAUCCUGCUGGGUUUGCAUGGUUGUUUUUUAGCAAAAUUUGUGAUGUUAACAAUCAAAUGAAGCUCUCUAUUUUAGCACUUCCAAAUGUUGCUAUGGUUGUGGUCGAUGUGUUUUGUUUGUACAGUAAUUGGUUGGUCAUUAUUGUUUCUUGGAUUCCAAAGGAUUAUGAAUAGGGUGGUCUUGGGUUUUGAGACCUAGAAAUGCUUUAAUAAAGCUUUCAUUAGACUAUGUGCUAA